AUUGAACGCUGGCGGCAUGCCUUACACAUGCAAGUCGAACGGCAGCACGGGGGCAACCCUGGUGGCGAGUGGCGAACGGGUGAGUAAUGCAUCGGAACGUGCCCAGUAGUGGGGGAUAACCAGUCGAAAGAUUGGCUAAUACCGCAUACGACCUACGGGUGAAAGCGGGGGACCGUAAGGCCUCGCGCUAUUGGAGCGGCCGAUGUCUGAUUAGCUAGUUGGCGGGGUAAGAGCCCACCAAGGCGACGAUCAGUAGCUGGUCUGAGAGGACGACCAGCCACACUGGGACUGAGACACGGCCCAGACUCCUACGGGAGGCAGUAGUGGGGAAUUUUGGACAAUGGGCGCAAGCCUGAUCCAGCCAUGCCGCGUGCGGGAAGAAGGCCUUCGGGUUGUAAACCGCUUUCGGCAGGAACGAAACGGCGACCUCUAAUACGGGUCGUUAAUGACGGUACCUGCAGAAUGAGCACCGGCUAACUACGUGCCAGCCGCCGCCGUAAAAC
rnacentral:rRNA from 1 species